UUUGAUAUGAAUCUGUCGUAAGUACAAUUUAGCAAGAGAGAACAAAAGAGCACCAGAAGAUGAGAUGUAAAAAUCACUGGCCAUGAGGACAAUUUGGAGGUGAAUGAUGUAGAUUAUAUAAACAAUUUGAAAUAAGAAAGCAAUAUUUCUUGAUUCCCCAUAGCCAGUCUGGGGGAGCAGCUUUUGCAUCACAUCCUGCCAUUAUUUUCAUUUUUCAGGCUACUCUGUGCUGUUAUUUCCUCUUAGAAAGCUCCAAAUUCUUGAUAGUGGGAUGUAAUAGAUCAAGCUGAAGAAGUGAAAUUUUGACAGAAUCCAUUCAGCCAGACAUGGAUUAAAAACUUUUCUGGUUGAAGCAGCUUCAGAAAUGAUAUUUACAUUGCAUAAGAUCAAGCAUGCUUUUGAGUAGCCGUGACAGCUUCAAUACAAGACUCUGGCCCUCUGAAAGGAAAGGUUUCUGAGUUCUGAUAGGAGGGGAAAAAAACAAAAUGCAUUUACAGUUUUGUGAUGAGCUCCAGAGUGGAUUCGACUUCGAGCCAAAAGUGUUCACUUUUCAGCCAGUAACAUCUGCAUCACAAACCACAAACACAUCAAAUCAGACCAGUUGAAAUUGAAUUUCCAGGGAGUUUGCACACACUACAAAAAUGCAAUGAAUGGCUCUGGAUAGAGUAAAAUGAAAACAAAACAAAAUUGGGAAAUGCAGAGUUGCUGAUAUCAUGUAUUUUCAUCAAAUUUCCACUGUGAUAUGCCAGAGCCUAACUGAAAUUUGCCUAGAGGAAAGACAAAAUAAGUUGUGGUUCCAGAUGUAGACACUAGCCUAGUAAAAACAACUCAUAAUUAAAACAAGCAGCAAUUUAUCACCAUGAUGGGUCAGGGCCUGUCUAGGAUAACCUACUUCUGGUUUUACUAAAACACCCUUGCAAGAAAUGAUGGAUGAUGGAAAAAGAUAGGCCUCUUAGGUCUUAGACCCUUAGCAGCUACAUAACUGCGAACAGGGCUGGAAUUUGCAAGUUUCCUUAUGGAAUGAAUUCUGAAAAUAAAGUGACAGAACGGGGAUGCAUCUUUCAAUGUAAAAUAAAAGAUAAAACAACAUACCUCCGUGCAUGGUGGUAGAAUGUAAUUUAAAGAUACAAAGGAUUUUGCUAGAUUUGAAUGCGUAAGUGCAAAGUUGAAGGUAGCCAAAAAUAUAGGACAAGAGCAAAAAUAGUGUAAGAUGGUUUGGUCAUGUGAAAAAAAUCACAUCAUUGAGAAUCGAUGAAGUGGGAAGGAUUAGGAAGACAAGAGGAAGGCUGAAAAUGCGGGUUAAAGCUGUGAGAAAAGACUUAAUGGGCUAUGACUUAAUUGUUGAUGUAACCCCAGUGGAGCAUAAUGCCAAGAAACGUCAAAAAAUCAAAGAAUGUAAGCCAUCUGAAAACACAUCCACUUGUUAAACAAGGUUGUCCACUGUGGUUUAAUUUGCUCUCCUUUGCCAAGUUUACCAGCAAGAAAGCUCCUGGUGUUAUUUGCCCAGUCAACUAUGUCAUUAUAACCUAGUGUUCUGGCCAAGAAGCAUUUCAUUCACCUUAUCUGUUCUCAGAUGCUGCCGAUUUCUUUCUCCAGAGAAGACCCUGUUCUCUUGAUUUGUUUUAUCAUUUAGCUCACUUAUCCUACAGGAAAGAGUUGUUAGAUGUUCCUAAAGACUGGUACUGAUUCUGUAGGCUAUAAGCCACAGACAGAGAAAGGCACUACACACAAGUUGGUACAAGGUAUUAUGAUAAAUGCAGGUAUCUAUGCCUAGCAUGGGUGUAGGAUGCAUAAAUGAGUGACAUCACCACAUUACUCCGCAUAAAUUUUAGGAAGAUAACACUCUGACAAGAUCAUUGUAAUGAGUUGAAUGAAGAAGCCAUAUGCAGUCAGAUACACAACUCGGAGCAUUAAGUUACAAAGUUGAAUAGUGAACCCCUCCAAUGACAUCAAACCUUGGCAGACAAAUAAUUAAUGAAUAAUUAAAAUUAUUAAUAUACUAGCAAUUUGGCGACCUCAACUCAUAAGCUAGAGGAAAUGUAGGCAUUGGGUUGAUUUAACACAACUCACUUAAGGGAGUCAUGAACUCAAAAUCACCAGGCUUAAGCCCGUUCAAUAACCAGUCUAAUUGAUUUAGUAUUUUAAAUUACACUUCUAUGAACAAGAAAAUUAAUUAAUUUACAAAAAAUAGAAUUUUAAAGUUCUUCUCUUGUAAAUCCACUUUCCAAAAAUACUGACAAAAAAUCCUAAAAUAAUGUUACUUAUUUUAAAGCACAAGAGCUCCUAAUUUCUCUUCAAACUGGAAUGCAAGGUUUUUCAGAAUUUUCAUACCUUAGUUUUCCCGAGUGAAUGAGGCAUAUUUGUGAAAAAUAUUUCUUAAACUUUUACAUUAUUCUGUAUGCCAUAGUUAUUACUGUCACUUGUGCCUGAUAAUCCUUAUCAUCUUUUUCAUCAUCUCCUAGUACAAGCAAAUCAUUGUCACUACAACAUUUACAUGGGCCUUCUCUUCAUCUUGUUAGAUGGUUAAACAUUUAGAUAUAAAUAGAAUUCCUUAGGCAAAGCCAUUUGAAAAAAACAAAAUCACUUCACUACAGGUAAGUAUACAUUCAUAAUUGCCUGUGUUAUUGGUCAUUCAUGGCAACAGUGAAACACAGGAAAGAGCAUUUAAAAUUUAAGAAUUGUGGCUAAAGCAACAGAUUUCUAACUAUACCUACUGCAAAGCUUGUAAACUUUCUUUCCUCAUUCCAAGUGAGCAACCUUGUAAAUAUUUAUCCCUCCAUCUUCUAAACCUGUGUAUUAGUAUUGUUUCUAACAACAACAAAUCUAUAACCCAUAAGAAAAACGAGUCAAAAGAACACAGAAUUGGAAAACUGCUCAUUCCAUUCUAACUCACUUCUCAUCUAAUUGUUUGCUUACAGCAUCCUCCCCUCACAUGCAACAGGUUCUCAGAGCUGCUCAUUCUCAUCUAGCAAAUGGCAUUGUGAAUGGGUGUUUCUGUCCAAAAUUGAAAAAGAAAAAAGGCAGAAAUGGUAGGCUUAUGCUAAAACUGAAUAUGCAAGGUCUAGGUAACCAAGGAUUUUCAUAAAACAACAUAGCAUUCAACAAAAAGCUGAUCUAUUUGAUAUUUUAGAUGAAAUAUUUCACUAGAACACUGAGGUGCUGCAGAAUAAUCUGCCAAAAGAACCUGGGAGUCAAUACAAACCCUAGAUCCAUCUCAGUCCUAUUCUUUUGCAUUGAAAGAGAACAUAAUAGAGAGGUGGGUACACCUAUUGAGCAAAAAAUUAGAGAUAACCGUAAUAAAGUGCAACCAUGCACUGAUCCCUAAAUGAGUUUGUAAAUUUACUCUCAGAUACCUUCAUGAUUUUGAAAUAAGUAACGGCAGAACAUAAUUUGAACAUGCGCAUUACCUCAUACAAGUAAUUUCCAGUUCAAAAGGUUAAUUGGGUUGCGAUGAAGUGAUUAAUAGUUCCCAUCUACACAGCAUGUAUUGGAAAAACAUAUAUUUAGAUUACAACCCAAGCAGUCUAGGACAUUUCUCUCUAUUUUUUCACAAUUGCUCUUACAUUUGUAACAAACCCCAUAGACAUCAUUCAGCAAGGUUCAGAUUUCAGAAAAUUUAUUUUCUUCCAAGAAGUAAAUUUGGAUGAAGGUAAAUAAUAAAAAAUAUGAAAAGAGGGGCAUCAAUUCACAAAACUAGUGACAAAUAUCAUCUGCAGCUGAGGAAGAAUUAUAGUAAUUUGUCCCAACCUGAGGCAUAAAGAAAGACAAAAAUAACCUUUCUAAAAGGGAUUCUGCUAAGAAACCAAUCUACAACUAAACAUCAACCUGAAUCCAACAACUAGCCAAAGCAAUUAAAUAGAAAACAUUUUUAAAAAAAUUCAGAAAUAUUGGAAUCAACUUUUAAAAAGUUGGAAAAAAUUUUCAAAACAUUGGAAAUAUAUUUUUUUCCUGAAAUUGUAUUCAGAUGUAUCAAAGCUAUCAAGUCUAGAACCUAACCCAAAUUCAACCUGUUAACUAAACCUGAUUAAAAAAAGCUGCCUCAGGUGGGUAUGUGUAUGUGCCAAAAUUUUCCACUGUUCAAGAUACAUGCAAGUAGGUGAAUGCGCACACGCACACUCUCUCUCACAUAUGUGUGAAUAUAAAUAUAUAUAUAUGGAUGGUGCUACAUGAAGCAUAGUUUUUACCACCAGCUUACAUGGCAAGUUGUGAAUGGAUAUAAUAAAGUGGUUCCGAUUUAUCAAAUGUAAAAUCUUAUUGGCAUGCAAUUACUUCCUGCCACCCAAGUGGUAAAGAUAGUGGUAAAAGUAUUUUUAUGUAUUGGUUUUUCAUAUGUUCUUGUUUGAACUGCAAUACAGACAUGUUAGAGAUCCAUGAUUUCAAUUGAAUCAUGCAUUCCCCUGAUUCACUCUUUUAUUUCCCUACUAUUUCUCCCCUCCCCCUUCCCCCAUCACCAACAUGACUGAAGGAUUCAUCAUAAAUACAUGCCAUGAUAUUAUGAAUUACAUUAACUCAUAGAGAACCCCCCUUACAGUCCUCAAACUCCAUUAGAGAGUUCAUCGCACAAAUAUACAUGCAUAUUAUCCUAACAGUUGGAAUAAGGUUCAUGCAUGUGAGCUCACGUCUGUGAGAGAGCAAGAUGGUCCUCCUUUAUUUUUGUCAUUGAACCAUAACAUAUACACUUUAGAGACUGAUAUUAAUGUCCAUCUGUGCUAACACUGUCAGAUAAUAAACAAUCCUAAUGCUGUAUGUAGACUAAUUUACAUUAAUGCUAACAUUGUCAGAUAUUACAUAUGCCCAAAAUUGUAUGCAAAAAGAAAGCAGCUUGCAAGUACCAAUUUGAUCCUUAAAAAAAACACAGAUGAUAUAUGGUGAGCUGGGUUCACCAAAUUAGUGGGCACCUUGAUCACCGGUUACAUCCAUUGGUUGGGCAGAACUAGGAAAUGUAACUACACAGCUACGGUAACACCACAGUUUGGGCACCGUUAUAACAGAGAUUUGGUUUUGGGAAGGGGGUCAUGAGGAAACCUCUGAAGCUGAAAAGGCUAGGAAGCAUUACCAAUGAACUAAGACACGGACUCACAAAGUGCUUAGUUAAACAAGCAACAAAAAUGAUUAAAAGUUCUUAGUUAAAAAAAGUAACACUAUUAAAACCAAAUCCCAUCAACAUUUCCACAAGCUGUAAUGGUGUCAGGUACAUCCUUGUAGAAAUGUCACAACUACAGCCCCAGGAUUAUAUUUGAAUAUUGAAAGCAGAUGGUCAUACACAGAGGUGAGACAUCUACAAGUCUGAGAUUACAAAAACAUACUCUUGAUCCCUACCAAAGCCUCAAGUUUGCAGGGGAAGUAAAGAAACUUCCUUGAGGUUGUUAAUACAAGAAAUCCAAACAUUCUCAAAAAUAAAUUAAAAGCCAUAGGCAAGAUCCAUAAAUAAAAAGGCCCUGAUAAUGUUCUCAUAAAUCAUAACAUCCAUUUAUAAGAAGAUAGAACCCUAAAGCCCUACCGAUCUUUCAUUUUAGUCCUCACUUAGAUUUAAUCCUGGUCAUAUGUCUGUAACAUAGAUAAAAACAAACAUAAAGCCUCAAACACCCCUCCUAAUGCAAGCUACAGUAGCAUGAACAGUUCUGUACUUAUAGAACACAUGAAUAAGAACUACUACAAUACUAUCAACAAUAAAAUGUACGGAAAAUUAAAAAAUGCAAUGCUUCCACAUCAAGAAUAUCAAUGUUUUAAUCUGAGAACAGAUUGUCAAAACCAUAAUUAAAGAGCCUCAAUCAAUCUCAAGAAAAAGGGUUUUGCAGGUCCUUCCUAGGACAGUGCAUAAGGUGCUAAAUUGCCAAUUAGCUGGCAUGGAAAGUUUAUCUGGAACAGAAGAAAAAAGGUGCAGAGGGUAGAUUAGAAAGAGUAUAAUAAAGGUUCAUUUGAGGUGGUGGAAUUAAGGGACACAAACUGAAGGAGAUCAUCUCGCAAAUGUAUUUUAUGUGCAUGGUUGAGGCUCUGUCCGGACAUAAGCAGGAACGGGGUCAUUCUUGUUCCUUUUUUCAUUCUUUUUCAAUGUUUCUUCUACUCUUAGCAUGUAUCUGGGAUUCACCUCUCUUUAUGGUGCUUUUAAUAACAUUUGGAGUUCACCUACCAAAAUAAAAGGUUAAGUUUUGUCAUGUUCCAUUUGUUAUGCAUUUGACUUCCAACUAACAGGAAGUUUGUUGCCACUUUUUUCCCUGGAAUUGGUUGCUUUUUGGCUUCUUAAACAAAGUGCUAUCCCUCCUAGGAUUCAUAUGACAUUUCUAGACCAGUAUAUGUAUAAGCAUACGGAAAGAUCAAUCAUUGGACAAUUGUUAUAUAAGUACAGACUCCCAUAUCAUACCAGGCAUAGAGUUUGAAAGGGGUCUCUUCAACUAAGAGUUUCAUUAAAAAAUAAAAAAAUAAAAAUAUCAUGACCCUCAUCCAAGCUACUAUACAAUUCUAGAUUUCCAGAUUUCAACAUAUAAAAAGAAAUCAAUUUGCAAAAAUGAAGAAAAUCAAGCAAAGCUCCCUAGAAAAAGAAACCAAAAAAAGAGGAUAGCUCAAGGUUAUGAAGAACUUCACAAUAAGUCAAGAGCAGAACACACAUCAGCAAGAAAAAGAUGUAACAUGGAUGAGCCAAGGGCAAAGGUUUGGGAAAAAACCUUCCAAGCAUCCACAUACCAGGAAACCCCAUGGCAGCCACAAGAUUCUGGUCUUACAUCCUUCAGCUAAACACAAAUUUAAGGCUCACAGGAGGCCACCGAUGAAAGAAUGCAGCAACCAAAUAAAUUAAAGGUACCAGUGCAUCAUCAUAAGCUGUCCUAUUUUGUAGCCACUUUGAUGCCGAUAUUGCCCCAUUGUCUACACCAAGAGAAAGGUGGGAAAUCCCAACAUCAUCUUUAGACACUUGGAAGCAAGGUGUACAAGCCUCAUGCUUUGGCC
rnacentral:lncRNA from 1 species